rnacentral:lncRNA from 1 species
AACACCGCCCUCUAGGUCAGGUUAACGGAAGUCCCUGCGACCCAGCUUCCUGGAUGUGUGGCCAAUAAACGACGAGAACAACGACGAGUUCCGCCUUUUCGUGCGGAUGUGGUUUUGCCGGUUUCUUUAAGAUGACGCUGUUGCUUCCAGCGCUUCCUUCUCUUCCUCAGAAGGGAGCGGGAAGUUGUGACGCAGACUAGGGGAUUUUUAGGGUUUGGUAGACAUGAGGUAACCACGUGAUCACAAAGCCUAGCGGUACAGGCCGGUGUGAAAGCGGUACCCCGAUUUCACUCCUGCACGGCGGCCUGAGAUGCUGGGACUCUGUACACUUCAACUCGACACUUUUCAAACUAAGGAUCUCUGG